AUCCAAUCUGGGAGCACUCU
rnacentral:miRNA from 1 species